rnacentral:rRNA from 1 species
AGUCCAGAUCGAUGAAGAACGCAGCGAAAUGCGAUAAGUAAUGUGAAUUGCAGAAUUCAGUGAAUCAUCGAAUCUUUGAACGCACCUUGCGCUCCUUGGUAUUCCGAGGAGCAUGCCUGUUUGAGUGUCAUUAAAUUCUCAAACCUCUCUCUCUAUUUAUAGGGAGAGAGUCCUUUGGACUUGGAGUGUUGCUGGCUUCAUUUGUCAGCUCCUCUCAAAUGCAUUAGCUUGUUACCCUUGUGGAUAGGCUUUGGUUUGAUAAUGUCUAUGUCAUUGCCAUGAAACAAAUGUCAGCUUCUAAUAAAUCAUUCAUAAAAUUUGACCUCAAAUCAGGUAGGACUACCCGCUGAACUUAA